rnacentral:rRNA from 1 species
GACAGAGGGGGCAAGCGUUGCUCGGAAUCACUGGGCGUAAAGGGCGCGUAGGCGGGAUGGCAAGUCGGUCGUGAAAUCCUUCGGCUCAACCGAAGAACGUCGGCCGAUACUGCCGUUCUUGAGGGAUGCAGAGGAGAUUGGAAUUCCCGGUGUAGCGGUGAAAUGUGUAGAGAUCGGGAGGAACACCGGUGGCGAAGGCGGGUCUCUGGGCAGUUACUGACGCUGAGGAGCGAAAGCGUGGGGAGCGAACAGG